rnacentral:rRNA from 1 species
GACGAACGCUGGCGGCGUGCUUAACACAUGCAAGUCGAACGAAGUGGCGCACGGGUGAGUAACGCGUAAUCAACCUGCCCUUCAGAGGGGGACAACAGUUGGAAACGACUGCUAAUACCGCAUAAUGAAGGAGGGGAUUGCGUCUGAUUAGCUAGUUGGAGGGGUAACGGCCCACCAAGGCGAGGAUCAGUAGCCGGUCUUAGAUGAUGGACGGCCACAUUGGGAUCGGGACACUGCCCAGACUCCUACGGGAGGCAGCAGUGGGGAAUCUUCCGCAAUGGACGAAAGUCUGACGGAGCAACGCCGCGUGAGUGAUGACGGCCUUCGGGUUGUAAAGCUCUGUUAAUCGGGACGCGGUACCGGAAGAGAAAGCCACGGCUAACUACGUGCCAGCAGCCGCGGUAAUUC